GGUGGACAGUGUAAGGUAAGUCUAGCCCUGGCGACACCUAAGCUCCACGAGCAACUUUACCAUUCCACGGUGCCUGGCAGCUGAGGUCCAAAACAGUCCUGUUUUAGCAGAGGUCUUUGCCCUGCUCCUUAAGCUUGACAAGGAUCCAGGAAGCAGAUGUUAUGGGGUCAGAGUUACCUGGGACAGCUGAUCUGACUUUGGAAGGUGUCCUGUUGUCUUGGUGAUUCUUGAACCAUUUGGAGAGUGGGAAAACAAGAAGGUCUUUGUUAGUGCUCUGGUCAGUUCGGGAACUGGGAGCAACAUCUGCCAGAUACCCUUCUGUGCCUCACAGCAUGUUUGAUGUUCAUUGAGGUCAUGUGUAGCUGCAUGUCCCUCUCCAGGAGCAGAAAGGAGUAAAAACAGGUCUUGCCUUUACCUCGGGAAUAUGAAAAGUUAGCAGCAGAGAGUGCUUGCCUGCAGAGCGGUAAGGCCAGUGGAAAAAAACAGGAUUUUGGUGUUGAAAAGUAGAAAAUAAUGUAAAUGCAUGUAAAAAACAUAAGCAGUUUUCUAAAUUAUUUGCAGUUAUCUUUUUUAAUCCAUCUGCAAAGAUGAAAAUGUCAGACUUUUCCAAAGUCUCUCUUUAA